UGAGGGUGUGCGUUAAAUAUUGUAUAUA
rnacentral:sRNA from 1 species